GGCGUAAGCGCGCGCAGGUGGUUUCUUAUGUCUGAUGUGAAAGCCCACGGCCCUUCCGUGGAGGGUCAUUGGAAACUGGGAGACUUGAGUGCACAAUAGGAAAGUGGAAUUCCACGUGUAGCGGUGAAAUGCGUAUAGAUAUGGAGGAACACCAGUGGCGAAGGCGACUCUCUGUUCUGUAACUGACACUGAGGCGCGAAAGCGUGGGGAGCAAACAGGAUUAUAUACCCUGGUAGUCCACGCCGCAUACGAUGAGUGCU
rnacentral:rRNA from 1 species